UCUCCUUCCCUCCCUCCCACUCGGUUGAAGAUGGCGGAAGGAGCCGAAGUUGACGUCAGGCUCUGGCGAAGGGAAGCGGAGGAACAAGAAGGCAGAGCAAUGGCGACCCUGGAGCGGAAAGUGCCGAGUCCUGAGGCCUUCCUGGGCAAGCCCUGGUCCAGCUGGAUCGACGCUGCCAGAGUGCAAUGUGCGGACAACACAGAAUCCGAAGACACUGGAAAAGAGGGUGGAAAGAAUAGAGAGGUGAUGAGGCUUAAUAAAGAAGAUAUGCACUUGUUUGGCCACUGUCCAGCCCAUGAUGAAUUUUACCUAGUUGUAUGCAGUCACUGCAACCAGGUAGUCAAGCCACAAGCUUUCAAUGGGCAUUGCGGUCUCCCCAUGCCACACACCAUUCCCCGGCCAAAAGGGCAAGAAAGGAGACAUGGUUCUUCAUGUAAGGCAACCUCCUCACCAGCUUCAUCAACCUCCAAUUCCACAACAUCACCAGUCUCAAUGAAAUCCAAAGCCUGCAGUAGCCAUACUCCAGUUGGUAGCAACUCCAAGCCAUUCAAGUCACCAAAAGACAAUCUACAUACCUCCAAUAAUAAGCAACACCAGACAGUCUUUCCUUCCAAAGUAACAAGAGAUAAACCAUGCGUUCCUGUCCCAGUAGUCAGCCUUGAGAAGAUCCCUAACCUGGUGAAAGCAGAUGGUGCCAAUGUUAAAAUGAGUUCCACCACCACUACCACCUCUACCACCUCCUCUGCCUCUUCAUCUUCCACAUCUUCUGCAGCUUUGGUUAAAUCUGCUUUGACAUCAACAACAUCAAAGCCUGUGCCACCUUCACCUGAGAAGAUUCUGAAUGGGAAAGCAAUAGUAUCUCCUGCGAUAGACAAGAAACACCAAAAUGGCACUAAAAGCAGUAAUAAGUCUCACAAAAGACUUUCUGAGAGGGAAUUUGACCCCAACAGACAUUGUGGUGUCAUGGAUCCUGAGACAAAGAAACCAUGUACAAGGUCACUCACGUGCAAGACUCAUUCACUUAAUCAUCGGAGAGCAGUGCCAGGGCGAAGGAAACAAUUUGACAUUCUUCUUGCUGAACAUAAAGCUCGCUCAAGGGAGAAGGAAACUGUAAAAGACAAGGAACACCUACUAGUGUCAAAGGAAACUCAUCAGAGCCAGUCUAUGCCUACACAAGAGCAGGUUACAGGAUCUUUAACUAACACUGGUUUGGAGCCUAAAGUUACAUCGCCAGCAAAAUCGAGACUGCUGAAUACUGCCCUUUCUAGGGUUUCAUCUACGAGCAGCAUAAAUAGUAUGGGCACUACAUCUAGCAGUGCAACAGUAUUGGAAUUACCAUUGCCCAUAAUUGGAGAUUUAGCAAGCCGAUUAUCCAGUGAUGAAGGAGAAAUGGAAGGUGCAGAGGAAUCAGAAAAACUGGACUGUCAUUAUUCUGGGCAUCACCCAAGGCCACUAGGCUAUUGCACUUUUGGGAGUCGCUUGAUGGGCAGAGGUUUCUAUGUCUUUGACAGACGAUGGGACCGUUUUCGACUGGCACUUAAUUCAAUGGUAGAAAAACACCUAAAUUCACAGAUGUGGAAGAAAAUCCCUCCUGCCGCAGACAGCCCUAUGCCAUCUCCUGCAGCACCUAUUACCACAGCUUUCUCAGCACCAGUGCUACAGCCUUUGAGCAGCCCUUCAGCAGUUUAUCUUCCUUCAAGCUCACCAAUCACUCCGUCUUGCGUAAUGACAGCCCCAGUGUUGUCGUCAGCAGGAUUUGUGACUACAGUGGACACCAAUUCCAUCAUGUCAUACACUGCUGCCUUUCCACAGGCAGCAACUGCAUUUAAUCUGAUGGACUCUGGGUUCAAGGCCCCGUCGUUAUUAUCACCGGUACCUGUCGUCAUACCUUCCCCGUCUCUCAGUAAACCACUGAAAACAAAAACCAGCAGAUCCUCCAAAGUUAAGGACCUAUCUUCACACGGUGACAAGGGCUCGUGUAAUAAGAGGAAGAAACCACCGGCACCACCUCCUGCCUCCUCUCCAUUUUCAUCGUCGUUACAGACCUCAUCUUCAACUUCAUCGUUUUCAGGGUCGCACAAAAGGAACUGUGUGCUGAACCCCGGCACCACAUUGAACUCAUUUCCUGCAACAUCUUCCUACAGCGUAAUGUCUGUGCACAAUACGAACAAUGGAACCAACGCACUCAGUGCCAAAAUAGACCCCUCAGGACGGACUUCUUUGCCUGGCAGCUCGACAGAUUCUAUUAAACACAUGAGCAUGGUGGUGAGCAGUAUUGACCCUACUCUCUCUGUUUCUUCCCUGGUGCACCACCCAGGGGACCAUGCACUAGCAGCACACAAUGCUAUGUCUUCGCUGCCCCUACCUUUUGACAAGUCAGAAGGGAAAAAGCGUAAAAACUCUAGUUCCAGCAGUAAAUCCAGUAAAAUAACCAAAAUGCCUGGUAUGAACAGUGUUCACAAACGAAGUGCUGCCAACGUUAUGUCUUCAGUCUCAGAAUCUACAAACAAUUCUGUCUCUCGCCAGCACCCUCCUUUACAGUAGUGAAGCAUGAACAACUUACGCGAGGCAAGAAAAGAGGCUGACCUGCUUCCGCCUCUGCUGCUUCAGACAAAUAUUGGACAUCUCCUGGCAAGAGUGCAGAAUGUGGAAGUACACCAGGCGCUUGAGUGUUUGCCUCUUGAAUCACUGACAACUAUGUUGACUGGGCAUGUGAGCCAAAUGAAUGAUGACCGCAUCCCCAAAGACAUGCUCUAUGGCAAGCUUGCUAUUAGCACAAGACCAAGAGGUCACCCUGCCUGCAAGCAAGACCUCAAGUUCACUGGGAUCAGAGUUGAUGCAUGAUUGGGAAAAGUAGCAGCAUAUCUUUAUCACAGUCCAGUCCUUCAACUGCAACAAACCCUGUACAUGGUAAUAGACAACCAAAAGUUCAUCAGUGAAAACUGAUUUUAUGGGGUAUUAGUCCAAGACAGUGAUUACAAAUGGCACUGGUACUCACCUUUAACUGCACAAUGGACUGCAUCGAUAAGACGAAAACCUCUGCUCUGAAGACGUGAAGAACCCUCCCUCUCAGCCAAUACCUCCUAGCGGCCUUUUCCCCCAUUCUUUUAGCAAUGGUGAAAGAACGUGUUGUGACUUACCGAUCAUUCCUUUGUUUUAUGAAAGAGAGCCCUAUUUCACCUGUUCCCUUUGGUGGUGGUUUAGAGAUGCCCAGUAACGCAAUAUAACAAAUUCUAGAAAAGCCGGGAUAAUCAUGAUUUCCUUCCCCCCACCCUUCCACCUCCUAUGGGGAUAGUUAUAAUCAGAAAUGUUAAUCAUGAUCUAAAGUAACUUGGCAAAUGCGCAAAGAUAAAAGUUAUCAAAAUCUAUUUUUUACCUGGACAUUUUUUUAAAUUCUUGACAAUUGGCAGGAUUUAUGGAAUCCAACCUGAUUAAAAUUUGUAUCCCUAUAGAUUUUAUAUAAAUGAUAUAUCCUAACAUAAAAUGUUGUUUUGUGACAUGGCAGGUCUUGCGCAGUGUGAGGCAUUGAAGGAAAAUGUCUAACCUUUGUUGUACCAGCACUCACACUUUAGUGUUGCAUUUGUAAUUCCAUCCCUGAAGAGACCCAGCUACCAGAAAACAAAAAUAUAGGUUUUUUAAAUACAGUCUUUCUCUGUUGAAGGCAAAAUAUAUUCAUUCAUUGGCACAGGUGGAAUCUUGAGAAAGUACCCUUUUAAGUUAGGAGAGUAAUGGAAACUUGAUUGCCACCAGCUUUGUAUCAAGGGAUGUUUCAAAAAGGUGGAGUCAUGUGUAGUUGCAGAGGGACUGAUGAGAGAUUAAGUAGAGAGCAAAGGUUAAGGAAGUGUUAAUGAUGUCUUAUUAUUCAGUGUUAAAAGUGCACUUAUUUGUGAUGGAUCCUUCCCAAUGAGAAAAGAACAGGCAGGGAUUAAAGGAAGACAAGGAUGUUCCUGUAAUAGGGAUGGAUUUUAUGGUUUUUAAUAAUGGAUAGAAGUUGAAAGAGGACAUUGUGAAAUGAACUAAAGCUGGUGUGCAGAGACUGUUAAAAUGAAGUUGCGGCACAGAUAAAUAUUUUUCUUAAGCUAAUCAUCAUCCACCCAGUUGAGAGAUUGUUCCUUUGUUAGUGUUAAUUUUCAUUAAUUUAUGAUUUGUCAUUUUAUUAAUGCUCUAACUGACCAGGAUAGGUUCAGAAAUAGAAUUUAGGAAAGUCGGAAAUUGUGUGUUUAUAUAUUUUUUAAAUAAAUUUGGAUUGAACUUUUGCUAUGUACAUUUUGUUAGACUGAAGAUUGUGUACAUAUCUGUUGUUAUUUUUGCACAAAUGUUUGUCAUGGUUAGCUUAGGAGCUUAUAAGUAUUUUAAUUUUUCUAAUUUAUUGUGGGUUGUUAUAAAACUACAGGGGGUGGGAAAUAAAUUCCCAAUAAUUAGAAUAAUUUUUUUAUAUAUAUAUUAAAACAGAAGCUGAAGUCUGUCAUGAAUACAAGCUUUCCUUCUGACACUGGCUGUGCUCGUCAUAAACUGCUACUGGGCAGUGAGAUGCAAAAGAAGUCCGUGACUGAAGGGAAUAGCUUGGUAACUAUAAAAAAAAGUGUCAGCAAUUGCCCACAUUGUGGGUUUUGGUAUUGUAUAUUGUACCAGUACAAAUCAUGGACGCAAUGCAUAAGCCUGUCAGCCAUAAAAAGACAGCAGAUUACUGUAUGCCUUCUUUUGUAUUGAUGUAACAAUUGUAUAUAAAGCUGAUCAAAAACUUUGUAGAAAAUAGUUUAUACAGCAUUAUUAUAUUAUUGCUGAAUCUCAGUGAAUUCUUGGGAAAAAGUUUUUCUAUUUACACCUUAUUUUUUUGUUACACUGUUGACCCAUGGCAUUUUGACAAAACUCUGUGGGUUUUGCAUUGCUGGUCAGUCAUGGGUGUGUUAAUACUGCUGUUGCACAGACAAGAAUUUGCACCUGCCUCAUUGUGCUUUCCUACUGCAGAUUUCAAUUUAUUCCCCCAUCCAGUGAUAAUGAAAGCAUGUAAAAAUCAUCCUGCGUGCCAUACUGUAACCGUUCUCUUUCUGUAAAUGGAUUUAAUAACACUACGUAUUUUCACUUUGCUUUGUGCACUUUUCUUUUCCAUCUCUUCCUCUCACUUCACAGCACCGCCUUCCCCCCCCAAUCCAACCCAACCCAGCAGUGUCAUUGCAUUCAUUCCAUGCCUACCUUCAUCUUUGUGGUAUUGUUAACAGAAUGGUGUCUAGAAUAGCUGUAAAUAGUUAAUUUGAUGGCAUACAGAGAAAAUAAAUUGAACAAACCUUGUUUCUGAUUGAUACUGCCAUGGUUCAACACCCAGCUUGGAGAUAUUCUCUAGUGAGGGAUGUAUUUUUUUUUGUUUUGUUUUGUAACAGGCUUUGUAAAUAAAAAAUAAUUUAUA